GUUUAUUGCUCAGCGUUGUGUCUGUUGGUGCUUCUUGGGUCCAUUGUCACUGCCUCCGUUUCUUAGAUGCCACCUGCCAUUCCCACAAGAAUGGAAGCCCCUGAGAUCAGAGGCUGCCAUCUGUCAGCCGUACAGUGUGGUAUCUGAGUACCUUCAUGCAAUGUGUAAAGAUCGGAUCAAGGUAAUUGGUACCUCCUGAUAGUUAUCUGGUAUUUAUGGGAGGAACACUGAAAAUCCCCUCUGCAGGCUAUUUUAAAAUAAGUGGUUGUUGUCAACCAUAGUUAACCUACUAUAUGCUACAGAAUAUUAAACACGAUGUUCCUCUCUUA